rnacentral:lncRNA from 10 species
CAGUGGCAGCAGGGAGGCUGUGGGGGUGCUGGGCGUUGCGGUGUGCAGGUUUUCUGGGAGGAUACCUGGCGCCGACCUUGAAGGGACCCCAACGUGAGAGGGAAAGACGCCCGUGAUGCCAAGGCUUGGGCAGCGGACAGCCAAAAUCCUGAAACCCCGCGGUGCUCCCUGUGAUUCACUUUCCAGAGGCCCCUCAGUGCCCCGACGCUGGCCCGGAGGGCGGUCGCUGACUGUCUUGAGACUGAAGCUCACUUUCGGAUCCUGGGCGUUCUUGCCAGGUUUUUUUUAUUAAUACAGAGAAAACCAGUGGCUUUGUGACAGUUAGUUUUGAAACUCCCUGAGGAGGGCCGAGCGCAGUGGCUCACGCCUGUAAUCCUAGCGCUUUGGGAGGCCGAGGUGGGCGGAUCUCCUGAGGUCAGGAGUUCAAGACUAGCCUGGCCAACAUGGUGAAACCCCGUCUACUAAAAAUACAAAAAAUUAGCCGGGCGUGGUGGCGGGCACCUGUAAUCCCAGCUACUCAGGAAGGCUGAGGCAAGAGAAUCGCUUGAACCCGGGAGGCGGAGGUUGCGGUGAGCCUAGAUCGUGCCAUUGCACUCCAGCCUGGGCAACAAGAGCGAAACUCAGUCUCAAAAGAAAGGGAGAAAGGGAGAAAGAGAGAGAGGAAGGGAGGAAGGAAGGAAGGAAGAAAAGAGAAAGAAAGAGUCCCUGAGGAGCAAGCAAUUCCCUCAGCCAAAGAGCUUUUGCUCUCAAGUCUCGUUUGGUCAUGCUAAGCCACAGUUUGGGGACUCCUAGGAGCAGCCAUCACAGGUAACCAGUUCUGCUGGCUCAGGAUGGCCCCUGCUGCCCUGACUCAGAGACACUUCCUGCAAGGCAGACAUCUCAUGCAGAGCAGAGGCCACUGCAGUCAGAAGGAAGGGCCUGGUAGCCUCAGAGGCACAGCCAAGGGGCUGCAACGAUGGAAAGGAGAUAUUCCACAAGUCCAAGAGUGUGACAUGGAAGCACACUCUGGGAUGUGGUGGACUCAAGUGAUCCAUGCAGAUGUGGAUGCUGUCUCUCUUUCUCUGUUCAUAGAGUGUGGCAUGGGUCCUCUCUGGGUGAAAAUAGGUGCCCAGAAUUAAUCACACACUUCCAUUCAAAAUAAACUGUGCCAACUUGCUGAACCACAAAAUGAUUUCCUCGCCAUGGCCCCUAAAUAACUCCGUGAUAAGAACUGUAUGCUAUUGAUGGCUCUGAAGUCCAAAUUUAUUGGCAAAAGCAAAGAACAUGCCUGAACUAGUCAUUUCUGCAGGCGUUUCUCCUUAAGAUGAGUUUGAAGCCAAUUGGUUAUGUGAAGAAUAGCAAUCAGUUCUUUCUCACACUGGAGGAGGAGGAAGCACAAAAGAAAGUUCAAGGGUCAAGCCUCCCAAAAGGCUCUGUUAUAAUCCUAUGUGCUCUUUCAUUGUAUCUAGUGAUGAAUUUGGGUAACUGACACUUUACUCAUUGGCCAUCUAUCCUUGAACUUGAUAAGCAUUUUCAUUUAUGUAAGUUUACUUGUAAUUCUUCCAAAACUUAUCUUCACAUUUCCCAACAAACUAAUUUCAGACAUUUUGUUUUUAUGAUUCUAUUGUGACAGGAACCUCCAUUUCAAUAUACUUGUUGCAGGUAUAGAUUUUGUGCAUUGCUUUGUGGUGUUGAUUUGUCCAUCUUUUGUAUUCUGCCUAGCUUAUUGUAAUCUUGAUUUUUAAAGUUUUCAAUUGGGUUUUUAAAGUAUGUUAAUGUUAAUAAAUGCAUUUUUAGGUUUCCUUUCCCAAUCAUUACAGCACUCAGGUCUAUUUCAUAUCAGAUUGAUUGAUUUAUUAAGACAAGGUCAAGCUCUGUCGCCCAGGCUGGAGUGCAGUGGCAUAAUCAGGGCUCACUGCAGCUUCAACUUCCUUAGCUCAUGAUCCUCCUACUUCAGCCUCUUGUGUAGCUAAGACUACAGGAGUGUGUCACCACAUCCAGCUACAUUUUUUGCUUUAAUACAGAUGAGGUUUUGCUACGUUGCUCAGGCUGGUCUUGAACUCCUGAGCUCAAGUGACCCUCCCGCCUUGGCCUCCCAAAGUGCUGGGAUUAUAGGUAUGAGCCUGGCCUCAUACUUUAUUUGUAGUAACAAGAAUAUCUGGAAAAUGUUCAGCAUUGCUGAGAGCAGAUUUCUGUCAUUUUCGAUGUGUGUAUCCUCCACGGUUAUUGAAUGGAGGAAUAAACAAGAAAAAGACUCAAGAAGAGAGACAGGAGUCAGUUCUCAUCAGAGAAGAAAAGGUCGAUUUCCUAAGGCAGGAAAUAUUGAGAUGGGUUGUGUUCAGGACUAGCAGGAGGUGUGUGGCUGGCUUGUUCCUUGUCUACAUCCUAAUGGCCUAAAGAAAAGAUGCCCCACACUAAGGACAGCAAGAGGGAAAGAGUGAGCCUCAUCCUCCGUGACUUCAGUGGGCAGCUUAACCAGCACCAGAAAAGACCUAUACUUGCAGAUUUUCUUUGUGGGAAAACGGCGUUGGUUAUUUGGGUUUUUAUUUAUUUCCAACCAAACAUGCCUUAACGGAUACAGGGUGCAAAGGCAUGUACUAGAUUAUUCCAAACCUGCCUCACUGGUUUGUCCGGCAUUCUGUGGACUUCCUGCAUUCCUCUUUGAGGCAGGCCGUUUUCUGGAGGUUGUUUGUGAUCGGCCUCUGCUCAGAGCCCAAAUUCUUAGCCUUUCCCCCAUGUGUUAUGUCCAGUGUGGAUUAUCUUGAUGGUGAGUUUACCUUUGAUGUUGGGGAAAACAGGCAAAGAAUGAAUGAGCAGCAGUAACCAAAGAGCCUCUUUUCUGGGAAAAAAGCUAUGAUAUUAAUAAUUUAUAGUUCAAAUGCACAUUAAUUUAUCCAUACUUCUGUAACCUUACAUUCCCAAGCUCUCAGAAGUUCAGAGAGGUGUCCUCAAAGCUCACAUUUCAAAGAUGGAAAGACACAUCUUUCUUCUUUUUAAAAAUGAUUUUAAAAUGUAUCCCCCUUUACAUGGAACAAUUUGAGAUGCUCUGUGUGAUGAAACAGAGACAGAGAAUGAUGAGUGGAGAUCAAAUCCUGGGUCCAUGAUUCAGUUGCACAGCUGGCUUAGGACUCAGUUGAACACCACUAGCUGCCAUAAUGGUCCAGCUGCCAUAAUGGUUUGGGCCAACUUAUAGCUUUACAUAUUUUAUUCUUAGUCAUAUGUUGUUUAUUUAUUAUUUAUUUAUUCAUUUAUUUAUUUUGAGAUGGAGUCUCGCUGUGUCACCCAGGCUGGAAGGCAGUGGCACAAACUCGGCUCACUGAAAGCUCCACCUCCUGGGAUCAUGCCAUUCUCCUGUCUCAGCCUCCCGAGUAGCGGGGACUACAGGCGCCCGCCACCAUGCUCGGCUAAUUUUUG